UACGAAGGGUGCAAACGUUGCUCGGAAUCAUUGGGCGUAAAGCGCACGUAGGCGGCGCAGUAAGUCGGACGUGAAAUCCCUCGGCUCAACCGAGGACGUGCAUCCGAAACUACUGUGCUCGAGUAUGGAAGAGGGUCGCGGAAUUCUCGGUGUAGAGGUGAAAUUCGUAGAUAUCAAGAGGAGCACCAGUGGCGAAGGCGGGUCCCUGGACAACACCUGACACUGAGGCACGAAAGCUAGGGGAGCAAACAGG
rnacentral:rRNA from 1 species